ensembl:snRNA U6 U6 spliceosomal RNA
AUGCUCACUUCAGCAGCACAUAUACUAAAAUGGGAACAAUACAGAGGUUAGCGUGGCCUCUGCCCAAGGAUGACACUCAAAUUUGAGAAAGAAAUUGAUGUUUU